rnacentral:lncRNA from 1 species
UUUUAUCCUAAUUAAAACUUGUCUAGAACAGAAGCCCACAAAGCUAGAGAAAGAAUUGAGGAGUACAAAACUCUCUCUAGAAUCGACGCUAUCUCUCUCUACAAAUCAUGUCUCCUCAUCUAAAAUUAAACCCAAAUCAAAACCCCUCAAAUCAAAAUGUGAAUCUCAUUUGUCAGGUAUGUUCAAAUCCCUAAUCUUUUAUUUUUUCUUUUGGAUAAGAGGUUGCCCCGCUUUAAUCGAUUGAUUUAUUGGAGGAAAAAUCAAAGAAACUAUUUCUGUUCCUAAUCGAUUUUGUGCAUCCUUUCCUUCUUAUUUGUUACUAUCUCAUAUCUAACUAAAACCCCAUAAAGAUUUGUAUAAGAUAUAUUUAUAUUUGGGUAUUUUCGUAUAAUGAUUCUGUAAGACAAAAGUUUCAAUAUGCAGUUACGGAUAAUUAUUUUUUUAGCAGUUUCACAUUUGUAUUCUCAUAUUUCAUCUCGAAUUUCUUUGAGCCAUUUGAUAAUCUACAUGAAUACCAAACAAAUUCACACAGAAAGAAUCAUUUGAAGCGUAUUUGGUAUUGUUACUGUCAAUUCUCGGUCUUAACAGAAUCUCGGCUAUCUCUUUUUCUGGGUAAGUUAAAAUCUUCUUCUUGAGAGACCUUUUACAUGUCGGCAUUCUAUUUAGUUUGAAUUAUUAUAUGAGCUUCGUAGGUUCUUUCAGUUAUGUCUCCUUACCAGUUAGAUCUCGACUUUGAUAUCGCAGUAGUGUGAUUUUCUCUUCCUAGGAUAUGAAAGGGAAUUGUUUUCAGUCCUUGCCAUAGUUCUGUUGUUAUUGCAUUUGACAUGAAAUCUGAACAGAAUUGCAAAGGAGCACUCUAUUUUCUGGUUAUUUAAAAACCUUUUGUCCUACAUUUGUUAUCAAGAAUCCAUAUAGAAAAAGUUAUUUUGUCCACACAAAAGAUUUAUGAUAUUGUAUUCAAAUGAAAAAUAGUUAACUCAUCAUUCGGGACAUCAAGCCCCAGCCCAUUUUAGAAAAGUUGGAAGCUUCAUGAAUUCUAUUCAUAUUCAUUUUUGGCUGAUCUUUACUACUCUUCAUGACUUGUGGUUUUUGUUUAUUAAAUGUCUUUCUUGAAUUCUUAAAACUUCUUAUUUCGUAGUAUCUGUUAUAUUUUGAAACAUAGUGACUGUCCUUUACUUUUCUUCAUGGCUGGUGACAUUUUCUCUUGUUGAUUCUUAUUUUGUUCUUAUAUAGUUAUGUGCCUAAAUUAGUAGACAUGAAAUAUUUAAUUUUAUAAGGCACGCAUAUGUGACUAUAAUAGUAGUAUCUUAUUUGCUCUAAAAUGUAUAAUAUUUGAUGUGAUGAUUGAUUAGUUGUCUUUCCUUUGAUAUUUUUUUAGAUGAGUAAAAAUAUUAAUAUGAUUGAAGCAUAACUAUGUCGGCAAAACUUGGACUAAUCAUGUAAUCCGAGUCAAGAACCUUUACAGACUGAACGAGUAUUUAGUAACUCUCUCCAAAGACCUUUAGAAACACAAUCAUCAUGAAAUGAAGCAGAAAAUGUGCAUCGCUCUCUAGAGACUGAAAAUUGUGCAAGUUAGUUUUCUGUUUUUUGGUAUUUUGUGAAAAUUAUUUUUACUGAUUGUGCGGAACUAGUAAUGAACAACAAUAUCCUUUUACUUGCAGUUUCUUCCAGCAAUAAAAAAAGAGGAAGAGGAAAAUACAAAUCUAAAAGUUUAGAUAUAAAAACUAAGUAUGGUGGCAAAAUCAAAAUUCUGAUUCCAGAUGACAUUGAUAGAGCAGUAGGUUCCGGGGUUAGAGAUAUUAUUAAUUACUACGGUUUGAUCAUGAGGAGCACUAUCUCGUUCCAAGAUGGAAAUUGGCAAAAAAUAGUUCUCAAACACGGAGAAGCAAUGUGGUUAAAGGUAAAGGUAGUAAAUUACUUUCAAGUUAUUAUUCUUUCUUAUGUGAUCUUGUGACACAUCUUAACCUUAACACUACAAAAUGUUUCAGUAAUCACCAAUGAGUUAUGGGAGUACCCUAUUUUGGAAUCACAUAUCAAUUGAUAUCAGUUAUUCAGUGAUGUGAUAAUAGGGUUUUUCAGGAAUCUUGGUACAUCUUAAAAUUAUUGCUUCUCUAUAGUUGAAGUUUAUAUCAGAUAUAAAGCUUCAUUUGUCCCUUUUUUAUGCCGCAGACGUAGAGCUUUUACAAAUAUUCUGGUAUUGUAUGGAUGGAAAGACUGGUUUAUUGAUAAAUUAGAGAAACUAUGUAAAAGAAAUUAGGGUGGGGGGUGGGAGGUGGGGGAGGGUAUGUAUUGUAGAAUAAGGGUGUAAAAAGUUACACCUCACUGAGCAGCACAUAAUACUCUUCAAUAUUGUAUUGACUUUAAGUUGCAAGGUUUAUUUAUGUGGUUAGGAUAUCAAAUAUAACGUUACAUUUAUUGUUAGGAUAAAUUUAAAGUUUGCAGCGGGCUGCAAGAGCAUAGGUUUCAAGCAUUUGUAAUUAGCACUAUGCAAAGGCUUUUUAGAGCAUGGAAAGCUCGACUCAGCAUUUUUGUACUUUGAGUACGCUACUACUGAAGAAAGAUUGUCUCAUCGACCUGAAGAUGUUGAGUUUGAAGACUGAAAAUACCUAAUACAAUAUUUUGGAAGUCCGGAUUUUAAGGCAUUAACUUGAUACCUGAAGAUUCUGCCAACCAAAGGGCAAUAUUCACAUCUUUGAAUGGUGAUUUAUUAAUCUGUUGACUUACAUGUUGUAAGUGAGAGGAACAAAAGAAAUAGAGCAAAGCAAAUAACUAAGCAUACUUGUGGUACAAGGUCUUUUGCAGAAGUAGAGGAAUCUACGGUAAAAAUAUAUUUAGUCUCCUACUAUCAAAUAUGCUUCUUUGUUAUUUACAUAUUUAUAUAUUUUUUAUCCGAAACUAUUACAGAGAAAUUCUAUUACUGGAGAAAUAGAUACACCAGAUAAAGUUUGGGAGAUCCAACAUAUACGCAAGGAUGAUAGAGGAGAGCUGCUCCAGGCACUGCUGUUGCUGCUGUUUCUGCUGCGAAACAGAGGAUAGCAGAGUUGGGAUUUUUUGUGUGAUAUGUUCAAUUACUAGGUGUUGUAUGAUAUGGUUGAUUACAGAGUAUAUGGUUGCUGCUGUUAGGUCUUCUUGGGACUAUUUUGGGUAAAAGGUUGUUAGGUCUUCUUUGUUAUGAUAUGUAAAUAUGAUUGAAGUUACUGGAGAAAACAAGUCCAUUAACUUGAUUUCUCAAUAGUAAAAAUCAAAUCUUGAUCUUAGGGGUUGUUGUUGGAUGAAAAAAACUGAAAGAUUAAAUUAGGUGGAAGUUAGUGAAACUUUAAUAAUUGAGAGAUAUUCUCUGAUUUAUGCUACUGGAAUUUAUUAUUUCAUCAGACCACAAAGCAUAGAAUGAUGGCUAGGAGAGGUUUCCAUUCAGAAAGUCCAAUAACUCUUUUUAGAUAAAAAGAAGCACAACGUCUUUAAACCUAAUAGACCCCUUUUUGUUAUUCUUGAAGUUUUACUAUGCAUGGUUUUUGAUAUAAAAAAUCUCAUGCA